CCCUUAGAUGAUUUGGGCUGCACGCGCGCUACACUGACCCUAACAAUGGGCAACUGUCUGGCCUGAGAUGGCUGGGUAGCCUUUUCAACCCAUGUCAUGAUUGGGCUAGAUUUUUGUAAGUCUUGAUCUCUAACGAGGAAUCCCUAGUAUGUGUGAAUCAUCAAUCCAUGCAGAUUAUGUCCCUGCCCUUUGUACACACCGCCCGUCGCUCCUACUGAUUGGGUGAUCCGGUGAGCUGUUCGGCCAUAGCAAUGUUUCUUGAGCAGGGCAAUGAAUGUUUCGCAAACCUUGCCACUUAGAGGAAGGAGAAGUCGUAACA
rnacentral:rRNA from 1 species